rnacentral:lncRNA from 1 species
AUGAGAUUAUCAACAUUAUCUGAGGCUACGCUGGAGCAGACGUUCCAGAUGUUCCAGAGUCACAGACGUUCCAGAGACACAGAUGUUCCAGAUGUUCCAGAUGUUCCAGAGUCACAGACGUUCCAGAGACACAGAUGUUCCAGAGACACAGAUGUUCCAGAUGUUCCAGAGACACAGAUGUUCCAGAGACACAGAUGUUCCAGAGACACAGAUGUUCCAGAGACACAGAUGUUCCAGAGACACAGAUGUUCCAGAGACACAGAUGUUCCAGAGACACAGAUGUUCCAGAGACACAGAUGUUCCAGAGACACAGAUGUUCCAGAGACACAGAUGUUCCAGAGACACAGAUGUUCCAGAGACACAGAUGUUCCAGAGACACAGAUGUUCCAGAGACACAGAUGUUCCAGAGACACAGAUGUUCCAGAGACACAGAUGUUCCAGAGACACAGAUGUUCCAGAGACACAGAUGUUCCAGAGACACAGAUGUUCCAGAGACACAGAUGUUCCAGAGACACAGAUGUUCCAGAGACACAGAUGUUCCAGAGACACAGAUGUUCCAGAGACACAGAUGUUCCAGAGACACAGAUGUUCCAGAGACACAGAUGUUCCAGAGACACAGAUGUUCCAGAGACACAGAUGUUCCAGAGACACAGAUGUUCCAGAGACACAGAUGUUCCAGAGACACAGAUGUUCCAGAGACACAGAUGUUCCAGAGACACAGAUGUUCCAGAGACACAGAUGUUCCAGAGACACAGAUGUUCCAGAGACACAGAUGUUCCAGAGACACAGAUGUUCCAGAGACACAGAUGUUCCAGAGACACAGAUGUUCCAGAGACACAGAUGUUCCAGAGACACAGAUGUUCCAGAGACACAGAUGUUCCAGAGACACAGAUGUUCCAGAGACACAGAUGUUCCAGAGACACAGAUGUUCCAGAGACACAGAUGUUCCAGAGACACAGAUGUUCCAGAGACACAGAUGUUCCAGAGACACAGAUGUUCCAGAGACACAGAUGUUCCAGAGACACAGAUGUUCCAGAGACAAAGACGUUCCAGAGACACAGAUGUUCUGAACUUGCUGUUUAA